rnacentral:tRNA from 1 species
GGCGGCGUAGCUCAGUUGGUUAGAGCGUCGGAAUCAUAAUCCGCAGGUCCGGGGUUCAAGUCCCUGCGCCGCUACCA